rnacentral:rRNA from 1 species
AUGGAUCUGUUGAAGCACCUUGGAUUCCCGGACAGAUUUCGCGACAGGGUUUCGGCUUUGCUCUCUACAGCCACUUCGAGGGUGUUGAUCAAUGGAGUGUUGGGUGAUCCGCUAAAGCAUGGAUGUGGUCUUCGUCAGGGAGACCCGCUCUCUCCCCUACUCUUCGUCUUGGCCAUCGAUCCGCUCCACCACCUCCUCUGCAAGGCCACGACCCAAGGGCACCUUCACCCUCUGUGUGGCAGAUCUUCCCCCGUUCGGGCCUCGCUCUAUGCCGACGAUGCAGCCAUAUUCGUUAAGCCCAUUAAGGAAGAUGUCCAAUUCCUUGCUGCAACUCUGACCUCCUUUGGAGCGGUAACUGGCCUUGUCACCAACUGUGCAAAAAGUUUGGUUGCCCCCAUCCGAUGCGACAACAUCAACCUUGAUGAGGUUCUUCAUGCUUUCCCGGCGGUGCGCACCUCGUUCCCAAUGCGUUACCUUGGACUCCCGCUUGCUGUUAAACGCCUCAAACGAAUCCACUUCCAGUACCUUGAGGAUAAAAUUGCAGGCAAGCUCCCUCCAUGGCAAGGAAGGCUUGUGGCCUCUGCCGGCCGUGUUGUUCUUGUUAAGGCUGUCCUAACCGCCAUUGCCAUCUAUCACCUCACGCUCCUCGACAUCCCGGUGGAGGGCUUUUGA